rnacentral:rRNA from 1 species
UACGUAGGGUGCGAGCGUUAAUCGGAAUUACUGGGCGUAAAGCGUGCGCAGGCGGUUCGUUGUGUCGGCGGUGAAAGCCCCGGGCUCAACCUGGGAAUGGCCGUUGAAACUGGCGAACUGGAGUGUGGCAGAGGGGGGUGGAAUUCCGCGUGUAGCAGUGAAAUGCGUAGAGAUGCGGAGGAACACCUGUGGCGAAAGCGGCUCACUGGACCAUAACUGACGCUGAGGCACGAAAGCUAGGGGAGCAAACAGG